ensembl:lncRNA
UGAAUCCCCUAACUGUAAGGGUAUUUGAUACCACCAAAGUUGUGCACAGAUUUCUCGACAUGUGCACCACAAGUGGAAGAAACUGUGGCACAGCUGAUGUCAUAUAUAAAAAAAUCAACGAUGUCCUGAUAGAGCAUAACAUACCAUGGAAAAAUUGUGUUGGCCUGUCAAGUUGACAGUGCCCCAGUUAACACUGGAGCCAAAAAUUCAAUUGCGGUAAAAAUGCUUAAGGAAAAUCCCAUGAAUUACAUGCAUGGAUGCCCCUGCCAUAUAAUCCAUAACACUGCCAAACACGCUGGGAAGAGGUUUUUGAAAGUAAGUUUCAACAUGUUUGCUUUCCAUUAAAUAUCUGUUAAGCCAAGGUGAAGUAAAUAAUUUGCUGUAUAAAUACAUAAUAUAUGUUUGCGCUCAUGUCAUGUUCUGCUGAUAUCUGGAUUUGACACUAAGGACCUUGUGGUUGAUGUUGGAUACUGGUUUAAGGGCAGCACAAACCGUAAACGUUACUUGAAAGGUUUGUAAUUCAGUUAGCUCCAGUGUUACACACCCAAACUGAGGAAAAAUUGGGUUAACUUUGUUUGUUUUUCUUACAUAUUUUACCAGAAAUCCAUGGCAAUGAUUAUAUGGAAAUGCUGCUGUACAUUUCUGUGAGGUGGCUGAGUUUGGAGAUGUGCAUCACCUGCAUUCUGCAGCGGUAUGCCCACUCACAAGCUACUUCAAAUCUUUAAGUAAGUCACACAUUAUAUUGCCACUAGUUCAAGAUGGUUAUGUGAGACACCCAAUACUAACAACCUGUCUAUUUGCAGAUGAGAAACAACCAAGGUUCAGAAGGCUGGUUGAGGCGUUUUCCAAUCCCCUGAUGGAAGUCUACCUCCUGUUCCUUCAGGCCACAUUCCCAGUGUUCUCUACACUGAACCUCCUUCUCCAGAGAGAAAAGGCAUCCAUAUUCCAGCUGUAUGAAGAGAUGACGAAAUUCAUCAAGAAACUCUGUUCGAGGUUCAUGACACCAGCAGCACUACGAGGAGGAGAAGUCCAUGACAUCCCCUUCAAGGACCCACUGCACCCACUGCCAGGUAAUGCUUUGAAGUCACAUAGGGAGAUAAACCAGUCUGCUUAUUCACAACAAAUACACCUUUUCUAUGGAUUGAGAGGUCUUUCUGAUGAUGGAAUAAGGAUACAAAAUUUUACAAAGAAUGGUAUCCCAGUAACAAUAUACUCACCCCUCUGCCAUUUGGUAGAAGAUAUAAGAGCAUCAGAAACAGCACUAGUAGAUUCAGAGACAGCUUCUAUCCUCAAGCCAUCAGAAUGCUGAACUAUACUCAACAGUCUUCACUCUCCUAAAUGGCACACUUGUCACUUUUUAGAAUUAAUCCUUCAACUUAAAUUAAUCAUUUUUUAUUUUACCUCUUCUAUUUAUCUACUUUCUAUUUAAUUUUUUUUCUGUAAAGUUGAGAUUACUUUGACCACAACCAAUUUCAUGACUGAUAAAUGUUAUUUAUGUGUAUAUGACAAUAAACAUGAAACUUGUAUAACCCAGAGAUAUUCUAUAAGAUGCCUGUAUUUGACUAGCUUUCUCUAUGUCUUCUGUCUCACUGAUAGGAGAAAAACUCAAUGUGGGUUUCACCACCAGAGCUACACUCAACAGGCUCCUUGAGGCUGGAGAGGUCACAUCACAGAGGAUCAACAAUUCCAGCAGCAAUUCGGAGCUGUGGAGUAUGCCAUGGAUAAACUCCCGCUGAAAGAUGCUCUCCUGAAGCAUGCAAGAUUUAUUGACGUGCAGCUGAGAGCUGAGUGUGAGGUUGAAGAUGCCCUAUACUUUGUAGACAGGCAAGGGUUUUCACAUACUGAUUAUAUAUUUUUAAGUUUAAUGGUCAUGAUCACAAAAUAAAUCUGUCUCUCACUGUACUCUAAUCAGUCUUGUACACAUGUGCUCUUUUUAAGAUUUCAGGAACUCCUUCCUUUUUGUGACCCAAAGGAACAAGACCAAGUAAGUGAGGAGUUUAUGGAGUACCAACUCAUGGACAUUGCCUUGCCCCAGGACCCAACAGUCUUUGAUGUUGAGGAGUUUUGGGGAAGAAUGUCCACAACAAAGAACAAGGUAAGAAAUAAUUUGCACACAACAUGACUUGCUCAUUAGUAAUUACGAUGAAGGGAAAACAUUUGAGAAAUAGAGGCCCCUGGUUCCUUUUUUCAAAGGUGACUGGCUUGAACCAAUUUGGGAGGCUAUCAAAGAUCGCAGCCUUGGUUUUAGUCCUUCCACAUUCUAAUGCAGAUGCCGAGAGGGUAUUUUCGAUAAUUGGUUUGAACAAAACCUCAACACGAAACAGCUUGUCUCUGGACGGGACAUUGUCCUCAAUCAUGACCCUGAAAAUAGCUUGGCUUGAGCCGAACUGUUUCAAAUGGGAGCCAACACCCCAAAUCAUAAAGGAGUCCAAAAAGGCAACAAACACUUACAAUAAACAACACCAGUCAUAAUCUCUCUCUCUCUCUCUCUCUCUCACACACACACACACACACACACUCACACUCACAUACACACACACAAAAAUGUGUCAAAUAUUUUCUUCUGCAAGUCUGAGCAAUUAUUAAUAUUAACAACAAAAACACUAAUAAUAAUAUUAUUAAUGGAACACCCCCAUACCCUUUGACUCC